AGGGCAUGCCCUCUGGCGGGGGUUGACGCUACUACAGAUUGGGGUUAGAGGCUGUAAGAUUAAAGAACGAACUCAUUUAAUAACCUAUAACCCCCCAGAGUUGGCCUGCCUUCACUUCUCCCACCAACCUCAAUUAGCCAGGUCGCAGCUUAGGCAUCGACACAUUAGCAUUAAGCGAUUUCUCUGCCUACCCACUCCUUACUGCCUCACGCCACCUGCCUAAUCAGAUUAUCAGUUACCUUAGACGCCAAACGAAAAAGAGCUAAUUUGUGGAGCGGAAAUCACAGCCAGAAACCUGGCAGCAGGAGAUGAGCGGUGGCACAAUCUUGUACGUGUCAGUGGCAGCCCCCAGCCUCCGGUUUCUCCUGCUCGGGCUUUUGUGGAAAUUGAAAAUAUGUCAAAUAAUUACACAUUUUUAUGGGAAUUUUUCAAUUUAUAUGCCGU
rnacentral:lncRNA from 1 species